UACGUAGGGGGCAAGCGUUGUCCGGAAUUAUUGGGCGUAAAGCGCACGUAGGCGGCUUUGCAAGUCAGAGGUGAAAGCCCGGGGCUCAACCCCGGAAUUGCCUUUGAGACUGCAUCGCUAGAAUUGUGGAGAGGUAAGUGGAAUUCCGAGUGUAGAGGUGAAAUUCGUAGAUAUUCGGAAGAACACCAGUGGCGAAGGCGACUUACUGGACACAUAUUGACGCUGAGGUGCGAAAGCGUGGGGAGCAAACAGG
rnacentral:rRNA from 1 species